rnacentral:rRNA from 1 species
AGAGUUUGAUCCUGGCUCAGGAUGAACGCUGGCGGCGUGCCUCAUACAUGCAAGUCGUACGGAACCAUGGCUAUAGCAAUAUAGUUAUGGUUUAGUGGCGAACGGGUGAGUAACACGUAGCUAACCUACCCAAAAGUCUGGGAUAACAUUCCGAAAGGGAUGCUAAUACCGGAUAAGACAUGUCAUCGCAUGGCGAUAUGUUAAAAGACGGCCUCUGGUUCAAGCUGUGCUUUUGGAUGGGGCUGCGGUCCAUUAGGUAGUUGGUAGGGUAACGGCCUACCAAGCCGACGAUGGAUAGCCGGGCUGAGAGGCUGUACGGCCACAAUGGAACUGAGACACGGUCCAUACUCCUACGGGAGGCAGCAGUAGGGAAUAUUCCGCAAUGGGCGAAAGCCUGACGGAGCGACGCCGCGUGAACGAAGAAGUCCUUCGGGAUGUAAAGUUCAGUCGGUCGGGGAAGAAGUAAUUUUACAUGAACAAUGUAAGGUUAUUGACGGUACCCGAUACGAAGCCACGGCUAAUUACGUGCCAGCAGCCGCGGUAAUACGUAAGUGGCGAGCGUUAUCCGGAAUCACUGGGUGUAAAGGGUGUGUAGGCGGCAAUUUAAGUUUUACGUUUAAAUUCAAGGCUCAACCUUGAAGUUGCGUAAAAUACUGGAUUGCUAGAGUGGCGGAGAGGAAGUUGGAACUCCGGGUGGAGCGGUGAAAUGUGUAGAUAUCCGGGGGAACACCGAUGGCGAAGGCAGACUUCUGGCCGCCAACUGACGCUGAGACACGGAAGCGUGGGGAGCAAACAGGAUUAGAUACCCUGGUAGUCCACGCAGUAAACGAUGUCCACUAGGUGUGAGAGGUAUCGACCCCUUUCGUGCCGUAGCUAUCGCAUUAAGUGAACCACCUGGGGAAUACGGCCGCAAGGUUAAAACUCAAAGAAAUUGACGGGGGCCCGCACAAGCGGUGGAGUAUGUGGUUUAAUUCGAUGCAACCCGAAGAACCUUACCAGAACUUGACAUGCUAGUGAAAGCGUAUGGAAGCAUACGUUUCUAUGUGGCAACACAUAGCACUAGACACAGGUGGUGCAUGGCUGUCGUCAGCUCGUGUCGUGAGAUGUUGGGUUAAGUCCCGCAACGAGCGCGACCCUUACCCUUAGUUGCCAACAGGUGAAGCUGGGGACUCUAAGGGAACUGCCGGUGACAAACCGGAGGAAGGUGGGGAUGACGUCAAGUCAUCACGCCCUUUAUGUUCUGGGCCACACACGUACUACAAUGGUGCGUACAAAGGGGUGCGAAGCUGCAAAGCGGAGCGAAUCCCAAAAAGCGCAUCUCAGUUCGGAUUGAGGGCUGCAACUCGCCCUCAUGAAGCUGGAAUCGCUAGUAAUCGCGGAUCAGCAAGCCGCGGUGAAUACGUUCCCGGGCCUUGUACACACCGCCCGUCACACCACCUGAAUCUACUGCACCCGAAAGCGUGCAUCUAACCGUAAGGGGGAGAGCGUCUAAGGUGUGGUCGGUGAGGGGGGUGAAGUCGUAACAAGGUAGCCGU